rnacentral:rRNA from 1 species
AUUGAACGCUGGCGGCACGCCUAACACAUGCAAGUCGAACGGCAGCGCGAUUGAGAGUAAUCUUAAUUGGCGGCGAGUGGCGAACGGGUGAGUAAUACGUAGGAAUAUGCCUUAAAGACUGGGAUAGCCUUGGGAAACUGAGGGUAAUACCGGAUGAGCUCUGCGGAGGAAAGGCUGGGGACCGAAAGGCCUGGCGCUUUAAGAGUAGCCUACGUCCGAUUAGCUAGUUGGUGGGGUAAAGGCCUACCAAGGCGACGAUCGGUAGCUGGUCUGAGAGGAUGGACAGCCACACUGGGACUGAGACACGGCCCAGACUCCUACGGGAGGCAGCAGUGGGGAAUAUUGGACAAUGGGGGCAACCCUGAUCCAGCGAUGCCGCGUGUGUGAAGAAGGCCUGAGGGUUGUAAAGCACUUUUCGGUGGGGAGGAGAGUCAUUAGGUUAAGAGCUAGAUGAUGA